rnacentral:rRNA from 1 species
GACGAACGCUGGCGGCGUGCUUAACACAUGCAAGUCGAACGGAAAGGCCCUGCUUGCAGGGUACUCGAGUGGCGAACGGGUGAGUAACACGUGGGUGAUCUGCCCUGCACUUCGGGAUAAGCCUGGGAAGCUGGGUCUAAUACCGGAUAGGAGCCAUUUUUAGUGUGAUGGUUGGAAAGUUUUUUCGGUGUAGGAUGAGCUCGCGGCCUAUCAGCUUGUUGGUGGGGUAAUGGCCUACCAAGGCGGCGACGGGUAGCCGGCCUGAGAGGGUGGACGGCCACAUUGGGACUGAGAGACGGCCCAGACUCCUACGGGAGGCAGCAGGGGGGAAUAUUGCACAAUGGGCGCAAGCCUGAUGCAGCGACGCCGCGUGGGGGAUGACGGCCUUCGGGUUGUAAACUCCUUUCGCUAGGGACGAAGCUUUUUGUGACGGUGCCUAGAUAAGAAGCACCGGCUAACUACGUG